UAAAGUAUUCUUAAGUUGAUAGGAUAAACCCUUUCCUUUUUGUAAACCAAGAAGAAAUGAACAACUUUGAACUGUAAAACGAAAAAAAGAUAGUAAUUGCAGGUUGCAGCAGUGGCGUUUGUCUCCAAAAGGCGCUUUGGAACCUGUUGAACACCAUAGAUGGCCGUAGAAUCGCGAGGCACAUAACGUUAUCAAGUAAGACAGCACACAAGACACAACGUGUCAUGGUUAUUUAAUUUCCUCAAAAUUGGUUGUAUCUCUUAGAUUUUGUUCCAUCCAGCCAUUUGAAAUGUUAAGGUGUUCAUCUUUGGAAAAAUGAGUUUGUUGAAAACAUUUUUUGUUCAUAAUGCAUUUUUUGAAAUAACUAUGGUUUAGCGGAUUUCAUUUUCUUAUUAGCUGCCAGCAAAGUAUUUCUUUGGUGUCUAUGUUUGUGAUUGCCCAAACAUUCAACGGGAAAGAUACAGCAGGAGAAUUCAAGCUGUUUCAAUUAAAGGAAGCCCAUUGUAAAUUCAGCUAUGCAGUUGUCCAACUAUUUUUUUGGUGUAACACAUUGUGCUUGUGGCAUUUUCAAGUUGUCAGUUACCAUAGCGUGAUUUCAUGUUGUGCAAAACUGUUAAGCAAACCAUAUAAUUGGGAAGUGACCAUAAAGUCAUUCUAAUGGGCGACAGCUACUAAGAGCAUGGUCUCAUGGAAAAUAACAAUUCAUUUGGUUUACGUUUUGAUUUGCAAAAGGAUUUUAGCCAUAUCAGAAAGAAACGCCUCUACUGAAGAUCAAGAAACCUUUUAACAUAAAUUAUUUUGUGUUUGGAUUUCACUUAGAAAUUCUCCCAGAACCUUUUCAAGUAAAAACCUGUAGAAGGAUUGCACACAUUAAUAUUUAGUGUAAGUACCAUAACCAAAAAUGUUUUGUAUUGAUUUGUUUGUUUUGUUUUUUUAGGCUAAUAAUCAUAAUAAAUCAAGAAUGAGGUUUCAGAA